CUCGCACCGCGACCCCAGGUCAGGCGGGGCCACCCGCCGAGUUUAAGCAUAUAAAUAAGCGGAGGAGAAGAAACUUACGAGGAUUCCCCUAGUAACGGCGAGCGAACCGGGAAGCGCCCAGCUUGAGAAUCGGGGGGCUCCGUCCCCCGAAUUGUAGUCUGUAGAGGCGUCCUCAGCGACGGACCGGGCGCAAGUCCCCUGGAAGGGGGCGCCGGAGAGGGUGAGAGCCCCGUCGCGCCCGGACCCUGGCGCAACACGAGGCG
rnacentral:rRNA from 1 species